CAACGCCGGGAAACUCACCAGAUAAGACAGCUGAAUGAUAGUCGGGCUGAAGACUCUACUUGACUAGCUGAGAGGAGGUGCAUGGCCGUCGUCAGUUCGUACUGUGAAGCAUCCUGUUUAAGUCAGGCAACGAGCGAGACCCACGCCAACAGUUGCCAGCUCGUCCUCCGGGAUGGUGGGGACACUGUUGGGACCGCCUCUGCUAAAGAGGAGGAAGGAAUGGGCAACGGUAGGUCAGCAUGCCCCGAAUUAUCUGGGCUACACGCGGGCUACAAUGGGUGGGACAAUGGGUAUCGACACCGAAAGGUGAAGGCAAUCUCCUAAACCCAUCCGUAGUUCGGAUUGUGGGCUGCAACUCGCCCACAUGAAGCUGGAAUCUGUAGUAAUCGUGUCUCAAAAUGGCACGGUGAAUAUGUCCCUGCUCCUU
rnacentral:rRNA from 1 species